ensembl:lncRNA
UAGCUACUCUGGUAGCUAAGCUUAAACAAGCUAAUUCUCUAAUAUUGAGACAUAUUUCAGCUUAUUGCGUGUUGCCUUGCAACCAACGGUCGGAGCUGCGGACCUCCCGCCCUCCAAAGGCUGCUCCAAGCUGCCCCCCUAAGAGGAAACAGCAUGCUUCGUCGAGGGUCUAUCGAGGACCACCUGAAACGCGAAGACGGAAAUCGAUGGCGAGGCUGCUUGCAGUAGUAAUGCUGUAGUAAUCCCUCCUGCACAUGGUUCCCUCGCUCCGAUAAACACCUCGCUCCCAUUGUUUCCUGGACUUCCUUGGUACUUUCGGGCCCCCGUGGUAUCACUUUGCCCAUGGCCUGUGGAGCUUGACAGGCUUCCUACUGUACAAGCUGGGCGGGACGGCGGGGAGGAGCGCUCUCUCACCACUCUCACCUGGGGCUAAUCACCAAUCUGGCACCAGUUAAAGCCUGCCGUCUCCUGUCGACGCAACACGACACACAUGCCAGCACGUUUGCUCAGCCUGCGCGCUGUACCCUGCCCAGCCUUCCACCGAACCUACCAGCAGCCCAGCCCCGAGCCUCACCUCAUGAGCCCCUGCAUGGGAUCACCUGGACACGAGACCCCCCUGAAUAUAUCCUUCCUUUUUGACUUCAAAACUGUCUGCCUCGGAUUUGCUUUUGGAUCCAGUUCUCAUCACCCCUAACUGUAAUGUACUGCAUGAAGCGGGGGCUAUAAACAUCUUUGUCAAUAUAGUUUUCCUACCGGAACUUACUCUGCUGAAACAUUAGCCUCAACAUUAAAAAACACAAACUUAUUCACAUACAGCGGUUUGUAUUAUAUCUUCUGAAAGAUUUCUCCUAAUAUUGUGUUUUUCAACUACCGUGUACCACAGAAUGUUGAAUCAAGUAAAGCAGUGGUCCCCAACCACCGGGCCGCGUGGGCUGUUUGGUACCGGGCCGCACCACAGAAAGCUUGUAUACAUAUUUUUUUUCUGAAAAAUGUUUGAUUUUGACAAUUGACCGGAUUUUCUCCUAAAUAUGUGCGGUCGUCCCUCUGACAUAUUUCCCACGUGUCACCCCCCCGUCGGUCGUUCCGCCCGCAACGACUACUACCC